GGCGGGAUCUUACCGGGGCUGGCGGAGGCUCCGAGCCCCGCCGGGACGCCUCCAGAGCGGAGCCGGCCGUACGCAGUACUGCGCGGGCAGAACCUAGUGCUUAUGGGAAGCAUCUUCAGUAUCCUGUUGGUCACUAUGAUACUCUUGGCCAUUUGCGUCUAUAAACCCCUUCGCCGUCGCUAACUGGAGAGCAAGUGAAUUCUGCAGACUACUUUUGGGAAUGUAACAAGCAGUGGUACACGGGGGCCACUGGAGCAGCUGGGAUCAGAACCCGAGUACUUGAAACCCAUACGUGCUCUGAAGCUAGACAAAAGGACUGGACAGCAAGAACUUCCACUUACAGUCAAAUGAUUUAGAGAAACCAACCACUAACAAGUAUUUUUUCCUCACACUGUAUGUAAGUAAUCAGACACUUAGAGACUUUUGCUUUUGAUGUGAUUAACAGAAGACAGGUCUGAAUCAUCAAGGUGUGUACUGUAAAGAAAACAAGUUCACUUUUGGUAGUGUAUGUAAGAGCCCUCUUGGAAGAAAUGAAUCAUUAAUGUUUGCAGAUGUUAAUAAGAAUUCAAACAAACUUUCUUAGGAUUCAUGUUCUGUCAGAUGGAAAUGAAGAGCAAGAGGAGCAAAUUUCUUUUUAAUGGCAAAGCUCAUGGUUGACCUUGUAAAACUAAGAGUGCAAAGCCUUUUUGGGGAGCUGGUACAAUUGUGCACACUUGCCUAUUGCAUCAGCUUCUUCAUUCCCAACUUUGCACUCUAAUAAUGCUUCACCUUAAAAGCAGUAUCAUACUUUAGCAAGGCAUGUCCCAGCCUAGAAGGCACUGAUGUUUAACUGGAAAUGCUAAGUGUGUGUUUGUGUGUGCUUGUCUUCGUCUUAAAGCAUUGAGGCAUAUUUAAUAGCUAUUUGAAAAGCCAAGUUUUAAAAGUCCCACUAGAAAAAAGGUGCUCAGAUAGGCACUGGGAUGAUGCUCCGAAACCAAGUCUAACACUUUGCAUCUGGAAAGUUUUCUCUCCAAGAUGGCUCUCAAGCUUUAAAUUGUGCCCAAACAAAUCCUGUAGAGUUCUUUUAAAGAAAACUGGAGCUCCAGCCAUAGCCAGUCCUGGGUUGGAAGGGUGAGUAAAGGCUUCUCAAGGGCAGCUUUUUGUGUCUACUGUGUUUAGUGGACUUGAGUGUUUACACAAACUAAAUCUUAACUCUUUGUGAAUGCUGCUAUCAUCUUGCACUGUUAGAAUGAACUGGAAGGUUUUUUGUGUUCUGUUUGUUAUGUAUGACAAUUCUGUAAGUGCAAAAGUGUCAUUACUAUUUAUUUUAGAAGUGCUACAUUUAAUUAUUUUGAUUUGUCAAAAUGUUUACUUUAUGUCCCCUUCAAAAGUAACACUGGCUUUUUGGAACCAAGGUCUGGUGUAGUGGUUUCUCUGUGUGUGCCCACACAUACAUUUGUGCAUUAAGCCUUGGUAUUGUAUCAACUUGAUGUUUUUUGCUUUGUUAUCCAUAACGGCUAUUCAUUUAGGAGGCCAGUUUUAUGUUUUCAAGCAAAAUAUGAAUUAAACCGAAAUCCUACGUUAUAACAUA